CAGCCGCCGCGGUAAAACGGAGGGUGCAAGCGUUAAUCGGAAUUACUGGGCGUAAAGCGCACGCAGGCGGUCUGACAAGUCAGAUGUGAAAUCCCCGGGCUUAACCUGGGAACUGCAUUUGAAACUGUCAGGCUGGAGUCUUGUAGAGGGGGGUGGAAUUCCAGGUGUAGCGGUGAAAUGCGUAGAGAUCUGGAGGAAUACCGGUGGCGAAGGCGGCCCCCUGGACAAAGACUGACGCUCAGGUGCGAAAGCGUGGGGAGCAAACAGGAUUAGAUACCCCUGUAGUCCCUGUCUCUUAUAC
rnacentral:rRNA from 1 species